UGCUGCGUACCGAGGUGCUUUAAUAAACCUGAUGAAGGAUAUGCGUUGGUGCGGUUUCCAAAAGAAGAGCAGCAUCAAAAAACAUGAUUAAAUGCUGUUUUUGGCAAGAACGCGUUAAAACGUUCUUUGGAAAAUUUUAGAUUGUGUGAAGUACACUUUGACCAAUCUGAUUUAUUGAUAGUGGGUCGCCGAAAAGAAAUAAAAAAGGUGCAAUACCAUCACGGUUUUGUCAAUGUCCCUCUGUGGAUUUUUGUGACAAAUCGCAAACUAGUAAGCGAAA